UGCGCGGCGGGAAGGGCGGCACGGGCGCGGCAGGGCCGCGGGGCCGCCGCCGGCGGGGAGCGGCGCCGUCCGUGCGGCCGCCCCGGCGCCGGGAACCCGCUCCGGGACGGGCGGCGUUGCCGGUGGGAGGACGGGCGAGGAGAGCCGGGCUGCGCCUGCCGUUCGGCGGGGUUCCCUGGGCCGGGAGGCGGCCCGGCUGUGCCCAAGGGAACCUUAACAAGGUGUAUAAAUACCUGAAGGGGAGGGGGUUCCAAGAGGAUGUUCCAGGCUCUCCUUGGUGGUGCCCAGCAAUCGGACAGGAGGCAACGGACAGAAACUGAUCCUGCUGAACAACUCAAGACCUAGACUGAAGAAGACAAAGAUACCUCACCAGUAGUCCAGAUGCAGCAUGGACAUUCUCCACAAGCACUUCCAGAAACUAGGCCACAUCAAAAGCAGCUGUUUGUUCAACUCUGAAGCAUAUUUAAGAACAAUAUUGUCCAGACCAAGCAGCUGUAGAUGAAAACAAAUCUGGAUUUCUAAAUUUGGAGUCUGUUUCCUAGCACCUGAUUCAAAGAAUUUAUUUGCCUUCUCCCACCUCCUGUUGUUAAAGUCUCCUCUUAACUAAUUUUGACUAAAUUUCAUUAUCUCUGUGCACAGUACUUUCCCAAAAGUCAUCUGUAAAUUAUCUAUCUUACUCAGUGAUAGAUCUCAUCUGAAGUAAAUUAGUCACUGCAUGCAACAGGAAGAAGACCUGGUCUUGGCGUGGGUGAAAAAGGUGCCCAGGUGUCCCUGCUGUUACUGCUCUCUUGGGAGGGGAGACCUCAGGCUUGAGGUCCAUUCAGUCCUGCACAUUUCAUGAGAAUACAAGAAAUACAAGAGAGCAGGGGCUUGAUUUGUAGUGGCAUUAUAAUUCCUAAAUAUAUUUUGCACAGUGCAUGGGCAGGUAGAUUAGACAGCUAUAAGGAAGGAUCUUUUGAUAACAGAGAUGAGGCAAGCUUAAGGUACCAGAAAAACCCAAGGUGUGAUAUUGACAUUUUCAACAGAAGGAGUAUUUGUUCCACAGUAUUAUUUAUGUAGCAGCUUUGUGGUAGUUGUAUUUCAUAAACCUAUAUGCACUUGCAUGAUACAAGGCUUAAGAUGAGAUUUUACAUCAAAGUCACACAGAAUUAGGCUUCAUUUUGAACUGCCUUAAUUCUAUUAAAAUCUAUGAUGUACUAAUUUAGGGUGCCAUUAUGGCACAAUAUAAAUAAUAUAUUGUACAAAUGAUGCUCUGUCUAGUAGAAAUCUCAAAUUUCUUCAAUUCCCUUAAGUUCUUGAAUUCUGGAGUUCUUAAAUCUUUGACUUUUUGGCAGCUUUUCUGACUAUCAGCACUGGACUUGCAAGACAAUUUCAGUUCCUAAUCUGCAAAUUGCUCUGUGUCCUGAUGGUUUUAUUUAAAAGGCUGCCUUGUGGGUGAUGGUGGUAUUGGAAACAGAGGAUUCUGAUUUCUUAAUGCAAUUACACUGGAGCUGAAAAAAAGCCACAAAGGAGAAUGAACUUUUAUUUAAACAUCUGUCAGAUGUGACAUAGACCAGGAGAGAUAAAAUUAAGAUGGAAUAAUUUUGCUCUGAUGUUUUGCUACCAGCACAUUCUUGAAUUACAUUGAAAAACAAUCUGGACAACAGGAUGAUGAAGGCACAUCUCUUUUCCCUUCCGUCACCCCAUGAAAGAGUUUAAGAAAUUUAGAAAAGAACUUUUCAUUUCAAGAUUUUUUCCAUGAGGGGAUUACAUUUUAGCUGCUUCUUUCUCCUCUUUUUUUUUUUUUUUUGGCUUUUUUUUGUGGUUUUUUUUUUUUCUUUCAGAGUACUUUUUUUCUUGAGUCUUCCACUGUUUUCUUUCUGAUAAUACCAAACUAAUAUUUACCCACAGAUAUGGUGCCCUCAUAAUUCCAAAAUAUUUCUGUGCAUUGGGAUACAAUGAUCUCUAAGAUCACUAGUGGUGAGCAAUGGGAGGAUUCAACAUCAAGGUAAACUAAUACCAAACACAUUCAGGAGUUGGCAGUGAAGUAACCUUUUAAAACAAAGCUUUCAUUCAGAAAACUAGCUGGAAGCUUCGUUAUUGACAGGUCCAGACUGUAUAAAGGAUGGAGGGAACAGAAUAAAUAAAAAGCGAGGUAAAAAAAAGGCUAUUGUGUUGGUUCCCAAAGAAAUAAGUGUUUCACCCCUUUUUCUGGAAAGCAGCCAGCUCCAGCAUCUCAGAAUAUUGACCUGGUAUUUCAGUUCCGUACUGCUUAUUUACAUUCAGCUCAAAUGCAAGUUGAAAGCAGAAGUUAAGAGAUGAUUUUUCUGCUCACCUGUGGCGGGUAGUGCUUUAUUCCCAUGAGUGGUGGUUGCAAGUGGCUCCAAUGAGUUUGCCUCUUUGGUGUUUUUGGUAUUGACUUCUUAUUCCCCAUAUUUGGAGGUGUUUCGCUAAGGAUCAUGUAUUCCUUGCUUAAAACUUUGCUGUGGAAAAAGAAUCUUCAGCUCAAGAGGCUGUCUCCUCCCAUGCCAUAUGUCUCUAUCAGGCAAAUUUUCCUUUUUGCCAUUGAUUUACCUUUCCAAAGAUGAUCUGGUGGCUUGCAAGCAAAGGAUGGUGCCUCCGCUCUUAGUGACUGGAGGGCUGUGUGGUCCCUCACUCAUCUUUAACAAAGGGCUGGCAUGAAUUUCUGUGACUGACUCCAUGUGAAGGGGUCCUUCCUUUCCAACUCUUGCUGCUGGAGUCUAAAGGUAGUCCAGGAAGAAAGUAUCCUCAUUGCUUAGGGGAAUUAGGGCUUGUUUCUGCCCUUGCAGGGCAUUGAUCAAGUCAUUUAAACCAGACAGGUGACAUAAAACCCCUCUCCAAGGUAGAAGCAGAAGACUGGGCUGUGCUGUUUGAGACCCAGGUCAGUUUCUUUUUGACACUUAUUUUUAAAGUAAGUAACUGUGUGAAGACUGUACAUAACUCAUUUGUAUCAUAUAAAAGUUGCCCUGACACCAUAAUGAUGGUGUUUAUUAACAAUUAGUUUUGAGGUUUUAUUAACAAUGAGUUUUGGGGUUAUUUUGCACCUGGAUGUUGCUUUUUAAACAAAGUUGGUUUUGAGAAGCAAGUGUAUACAAAUUAGGCAAAGCUGCCUUUGUCAUUGGAUGAACAAGAACUGUUUCAUACUUUCUAUUAUUAUACCUUUCUAUUACUAUACCUAGUUAUUGUAUGUUUUCCUAACUUUUGACAUUUACCUUGAAAUUUUCUAUGCCUGACCUACUAC